rnacentral:rRNA from 1 species
GACGAACGCUGGCGGCGUGCUUAACACAUGCAAGUCGAACGGAAAGGCCCUGCUUUUGUGGGGUGCUCGAGUGGCGAACGGGUGAGUAACACGUGAGUAACCUGCCCUUGACUUUGGGAUAACUUCAGGAAACUGGGGCUAAUACCGGAUAGGAGCUCCUGCUGCAUGGUGGGGGUUGGAAAGUUUCGGCGGGUGGGGAUGGACUCGCGGCUUAUCAGCUUGUUGGUGGGGUAGUGGCUUACCAAGGCUUUGACGGGUAGCCGGCCUGAGAGGGUGACCGGCCACAUUGGGACUGAGAUACGGCCCAGACUCGUACGGGAGGCAGCAGUGGGGAAUAUUGCACAGUGGGCGGAAGCCUGAUGCAGCAACGCCGCGUGCGGGAUGACGGCCUUCGGGUUGUAAACCGCUUUCGCCUGUGACGAAGCGUGAGUGACGGUAAUGGGUAAAGAAGCACCGGCUAACUACGUG